UGCCCGGCGCGCGAGGAGAGAAUUUUUUUGUAAAUGGCUCAUCGCGCCAAAACUCAGUGAACCUUUUGGGGCAACUCCCACUUCGGCCACGUUCAGCCAAUCAGGAAGAGCCGAGCAAGUGGUAGUGCUUGGCAGGCCGCUGGCAGCGCUGCGGGCGCUGCGGCGACCCUGGCCGGCCGGUCAAAUAACAAUAUGGCGACGCGUUUAUCUGAAAUCGAGUUUUCGACGACAAUUUCGGCUGUGUCGGCGGCUAAGCAGACCGUUCGGCCAAUAUGAAGACGUCUGACGUCGGCCAGAAAUUCUUUCCGCGAGUCGUGCUCUCCGCAACGCGUAUUAAUCUUAGCAGGUAACCGAAAAAUGGCCAGAGCGAGAGACUCUCCGAAGUCUCCGACACUGACGGACUGCUCGUAACGAGCUCGGGAAAUUUCUUCCCUUCCUUGGGACAAGAUCAAUCUGGGACGCAACCUUAUUUUUGACGCAGUUUGCAGUGAGCUGCUUUUGAUUUGCAUAGGAGUUCUCCAGUGCAGCGCUUGGAAAUGGACCGACAGACACAACCUUGAAAAAUCAGCCUGAUGUUGAAAUCUGCGACACCACCUCAGCCUCCUUGACCAGCUGAUGUGCAAAGAGAGGAGAACACCAUCAGCUGUCAAUGUGCACAUCAAGAUUAGAACUAUAAUUUGGGGGCUUUUGUUUCUGUAGGAUCAUGCAUAGCACACAGGGUUAUUGUGUACAAAUCGUAAUUGUAAAUAAUUUUAUUGCAUACGAGCCUUGAUGAAUAAAUAUUGUUUAUAAUAACAUUAAUUUAUUUACAUAAUGUGACUGUAUAUUAUACUGAAUAUAAA